CCCUUAGAUGUUCUGGGCCGCACGCGCGCUACACUGAUGCAUUCAACAAGCCUAGCCUUGACCGAGAGGUCCGGGUAAUCUUUGAAACUGCAUCGUGAUGGGGCUAGAUUAUUGCAAUUAUUAAUCUUCAACGAGGAAUGCCUAGUAAACGCAAGUCAUCAGCUUGCAUUGAUUACGUCCCUGCCCUUUGUACACACCGCCCGUCGCUCCUACCGAUUGAAUGUUCCGAUGAAUACCAUGGACUGAGAGUAUGAAUGGGUUCGCCUAUUUCUGCUUCUCGGGAAGUGGAGUAAAUCUUAACAUUUAGAGGAAGGAGAAGUCGUAACA
rnacentral:rRNA from 1 species